rnacentral:rRNA from 1 species
CCCUUAGAUGUUCUGGGCCGUACGCGCGCUACACUGACGAAGUCAGCGAGCAUGUCCUACGCCGACAGGUGCGGGGAAUCUUGUCAAACUUCGUCGUGAUGGGGAUUGAUUAUUGAAAUUCUUGAUCAUCAACGAGGAAUUCCUAGUAAGCGCAAGUCAGCAGCUUGCGUUGAUUACGUCCCUGCCCUUUGUACACACCGCCCGUCGCUACUACCGAUUGAAUGGUUUAGUGAGAUCUUCGGAUUGGCGCCACUGCGGCUCAGCAAUGGGCUCGGUGGAUGCCGAAAAGUUGAUCAAACUUGAUCAUUUAGAGGAAGUAAAAGUCGUAACA